rnacentral:rRNA from 1 species
GAUGAACGCUGGCGGCGUGCCUAAUACAUGCAAGUCGAGCGAACAGACGAGGAGCUUGCUCCUCUGACGUUAGCGGCGGACGGGUGAGUAACACGUGGAUAACCUACCUAUAAGACUGGGAUAACUUCGGGAAACCGGAGCUAAUACCGGAUAAUAUAUUGAACCGCAUGGUUCAAUAGUGAAAGACGGUUUUGCUGUCACUUAUAGAUGGAUCCGCGCCGCAUUAGCUAGUUGGUAAGGUAACGGCUUACCAAGGCGACGAUGCGUAGCCGACCUGAGAGGGUGAUCGGCCACACUGGAAAUGAGACACGGUCCAGACUACUACGGGAGGCAGCAGUAGGGAAUAUUCCGCAAUGGGCGAAAACCUGACGGAGCAACGCCGCGUGAGGGAUGAAGGUCUUCGGAUCGUAAAACUCUGUUAUUAGGGAAGAACAAAUGUGUAAGUAACUAUGCACGUCUUGACGGUACCUAAUCAGAAAGCCACGGCUUACUACG